GUGGGAGCAGCCUGUCUAUCUGCCUCUCUCUCCUCCCCUUUCCAGCCUGUCUACCCGUCCAUUGUUUUGACCCUCUCCGGACCUGGAAUGCAGCCCGUCUACUAACUGUGGCUGGGAGGUGAGAGCAGCUGGACCCAGGAAUCCGGGGCGACUUAGAUGGAAGUUUCGGGGCUUCUCUCCUGCUGUGUGACACGGAUGGCUUCGGUGGUGGGGAGACAAGCAGCAGAUGGGGCGACCCGAGGUCCAGAG